rnacentral:rRNA from 1 species
UGCCAGCCGCCGCGGUAAUACGAAGGGUGCUAGCGUUGUUCGGAAUUACUGGGCGUAAAGAGCAUGUAGGUGGCCAUACAAGCCAGGGGUGAAAUCCCGGAGCUCAACUCCGGAACUGCCUCUGGAACUGUAUGGCUUGAGUGUUGGAGGGGAUGGCGGAAUUCCUAGUGUAGAGGUGAAAUUCGUAGAUAUUAGGAGGAACACCGGCGGCGAAGGCGGCUAUCUGGACAACUACUGACACUGAGAUGCGAAAGCGUGGGGAGCAAACAGGAUUAGAUA